rnacentral:rRNA from 1 species
AGAGUUUGAUCCUGGCUCAGGACGAACGCUUGCGGCGUGCCUAAGAAAUGCAAGUCGAGCGGGGAGCAAUCCCAGCGGCGAACGGUCGCGUAACACGUAAGCAACCUGCCCGAAAGACCGGGAUAACGUUUCGAAAGAGGCGCUAAUACCGGAUGUGGCCAGCGGGGCAUAUGCUCUGUUGAUUAAAUCAUUUAUGGCUUUCGGAGGGGCUUGCGGCCUAUCAGCUAGAUGGCGAGGUAACGGCUCACCAUGGCGUCGACGGGUAGCUGGUCUGAGAGGAUGGUCAGCCGGACUGGGACUGAGAUACGGCCCAGACUCCUACGGGGGGCAGCAAUUAGGAAUCUUGCGCAAUGGGCGAAAGCCUGACGCAGCGACGCCGCGUGGAGGAGGAAGGCCUUCGGGUUGUAAACUCCUUUUAGGUGGGAAGAAACAAAUGACGGUACCACCAGAAUAAGCCCCGGCUAACUCCGUGCCAGCAGCCGCGGUAAUACGGAGGGGGCGAGCGUUGUCCGAAGUUACUGGGCGUAAAGCGCGCGUAGGUGGGUUGGCAAGUCCGCUGUGAAAGCCCGGGGCUUAACUCCGGAGGGUCGGUGGAUACUGCCAGUCUUGAAGGUGCUAGGGGGAGAUGGAAUUACCGGUGUGGCGGUGAAAUGCGUAGAUAUCGGUAGGAACACCAGUGGCGAAGGCGGUCUCCUGGGGCAUUCUUGACGCUGAUGCGCGAAAGCUGGGGGGAGCGAACGGGAUUAGGUACCCCCGGUAGUCCCAGCCCUAAACGAUGGAUACUAAGGUGUCAGGGGGUAUCGACCCCCUUUGGUGCCG